rnacentral:rRNA from 1 species
AGUGAACGCUGGCGGUAGGCCUAACACAUGCAAGUCAAACGGCAGCACAGUAAGAGCUUGCUCUUACGGGUGGCGAGUGGCGGACGGGUGAGGAAUACAUCGGAAUCUACUUUUUCGUGGGGGAUAACGUAGGGAAACUUACGCUAAUACCGCAUACGACCUACGGGUGAAAGCAGGGGAUCUUCGGACCUUGCGCGAUUGAAUGAGCCGAUGUCGGAUUAGCUAGUUGGCGGGGUAAAGGCCCACCAAGGCGACGAUCCGUAGCUGGUCUGAGAGGAUGAUCAGCCACACUGGAACUGAGACACGGUCCAGACUCCUACGGGAGGCAGCAGUGGGGAAUAUUGGACAAUGGGCGCAAGCCUGAUCCAGCCAUACCGCGUGGGUGAAGAAGGCCUUCGGGUUGUAAAGCCCUUUUGUUGGGGAAGAAAAGCAGCAGGUUAAUACCCCGCUGUUCUGACGGUACCCAAAGAAUAAGCACCGGCUAACUUCGUG